GUCACUCGGGGACCUCACAACAAAAGUCUAUGCACAAACCUUGUCUUUUCUUUUGCCUCGUUUUGGGUGUACACGACACCAUGCCCGUCACUUGUGCGUCAACGGGCUGCAACAAUAAGUUUGUAAAGGGGUCGGAAAUACGGUUUUAUCGGUUCCCUCUCAGCAAACCUUCACUUUCCGCCAAAUGGGUUCAGAAUCUGGGGUUGAGAAACUUCAUCCCGACUGCCAACACCUGCCUGUGCUCAGAGCAUUUUUCGCCUGAUUGCUUCAGGGACUACAAUGGGAAACAGUUUCUGAGGGAGGAUGCCGUGCCGACCGUGUUCCCUACUGGGCAAGACUUUUCAAAGAUUGAACUACGAAAACGAGCAACGAUGCCACUACCCAAGGAUAGCAGCAUAACAAAUUACAUGGGACCACAAGCAGAGAGGGACAAAGCAAGAGAGGUUUCCAGUGUACGUAGAGAAAAAAGAGGCAGCUCAAGAGGUGGACGAGGUGGCCGUGGUGGAAAACAACUGUCUGAUAGGCAGAGCCUUGGGGGCAAGAGCAGAGUUUACGACAGCAAAGGUCGACUAUUGUGCAAUGGCAAGGACAUGUGUGACUGUUUGGAUGUAGACUGCAUGGGUUGCUUCUACCCCUGCUCCGAUUGCAGCUCACGCAAAUGUGGAUUUGAGUGCCGCUGUGACAGGAAGUGGCUUUACGAGCAGAUGGAGGUGGAAGGAGGAGAGAUCAUCCGCAACAAGUUUGCUUUUUAGUAAAGCAAGGUAAAUUGUAUAUACACUAAUUGGCCACAAUCUAAUGAGAUCCAAUGGAGCUUUUUUGAACAAUUCUACACGUAUAAGAAAGUCACACUUUUCAAAGGCACUGUGAGAGAAGUACACAGAGAAGUGAGGCCGGAUUUGAACCCGGGUCCUCAGGACUGUGUAUCUACACAGAAAAUCACGGUUCUCAAAUACAGAAACCCUUUCAACAGUGUGCCUAUUGAUGCCACGAUCAGUUACUUUAGUUUUAGCUCACCCUAUCAUUACAGACAUUGGCCACUAAGCUGUCCAAGUGAGUGACAAUGAGGCAAGUCAUAGGUUGCGAUGGCAAUCUCACUUAUGAUGCCAAAUAAUUAUAAAAACAGUUAACAAACAACAACUGUGGAAAGAGGGAAAAUGAACCCACAGUCUAUUAACACUAUUAGGGGCUAAUUAACAGAAAAUGGAUGGAUGGAUAACAUUAUUAGCGAAAAAUUAACACUAACAAGAACACAGCAUUCCUACAACUAUUUACAAUGCCACUAGGCAUGCUGAAAAUUCCUCUGACAAUACAAUAUAAUUAAAAAAAAAAAAAAAAAAUUUUAAGUUAAUGUAAUCAAAUGUAAGCUCGGCUCUGUGUAGCAGAAAUACUGGAAGUUGGCUAUGGCAGUGGAAAAUCAGCAAGUCAAUCACGCUUGUUUCUUCGUGACCACGAACAAUGCUCAAACAUUGCUAAUUCUAUUCUGUGGAAGUGCCUGGAUGUGAGAUGCUUUGUGUACACUGUUAACCAGAGAGACUGGGCGUGCAGUGUGGUGACUCCUGGCCAGAGGGAGACAGUAAGUAAAAAAAUUUUUUAUUUUUUAUUUAGUUUCUGGUUUACAGCCCAGAACGGACGUCUCAGAUACUUUGUUUUUUCAAUUUCUUUACAAUCGUGUCGAUACAGCGGCUGAAAUAAGUAAUAAUUUAACACAUCACCAUUUUUCUCACUAAAUAUACUUCCAAAGGUGCUAUUGACCUGAAAAUUUCACCAGAUGUUGGGAACAACCCAGGUAAUCCAUACUUAUAUACAAACCAAGUAGAACAAAUAAGAUCCGAAUUUAAGUUGUAUGUAAAAAUGUGAAAUGACACAGGGGAAAAGUAUUAAACACAUUAAGAAAGGGCGGUGCAAAAAGGCUUGGAAAGCCAAGACAACACCUAAAAUCUAUCAAUAAUCAAUCAGCAAACCAGUCCCUUGUCAGUGCAAAUGAAUAUCAGCUGGUUCAAUCCUAAUUGAUGGCCUACAAAAAGUCUGCCAAGGUGUGAGUAAGUACGGUGGCCUGGAAGUGCAAAACAAUAUCACAAAUUGUAAAACACAUUUACAUUUCAGAAAACAAAAAACAAAAGACGUUUACAUUUCAGAAAACAUUAACAAAAGCACAAACACUUUUACAUUUCAGAAAACAAAUUGACAAAAACCGAAACACUUGUAUAUUUCAGAAAACACAUUAACAAAAGCACAAACACUUUUACAAAAGAUGAAACAAAUUACAAUUGAGACAAACCGGAAAGGGAAUUUCCAACAUUAUUAGGACGCCCACGCAUUUUCCUGGAAGGACAUGCCCUGCUCGAAUAUUAUUGGCUCCAGGACAUGCGCUGCUGCGCUAUGAUUGGCUGCUGUAUCCCAGUAGAACAACCCUUGUCCUUGCGCUUAGGUAGCACACAUACCCUAGACCUAAACCUAACCAUAAUAAACUUCUUUGUUUUAAAUUUUGUACAAAUCUGAUACAUAUUUGGUCUGGACAUCUCGUUACAUCUGCAUAGCCUACUCUUUCUGUGAUGCAGGAGCCAAUCAUGUUGAAGAGGGGCAGCUCUUGCCAAGGAAGGGCAUGGGAUUUCUAAGAAUGCAUGUUGGAAUUUUACAGGUCAGUCUGUGAUAUGGGACGUUCCCUUUCUGCUUUGUCUCAAUUGUAAUUUGUUUCGUCUUUUGCAAAAGUGUGUCUGCUUUUGUUAGUGUUUUUUCUGAAAUGUAAAAGUGUUUCUGGUUUUUAAAAUUUAUUUUCUGAAAUGUAAACGUGUUUCUGCUUUUUUAAAUUUAUUUUCUGAAAUGUGAAAGUGUUUCACAAUUUGUUAUAUUGUUUUGUACUUCCAAGCCACUGUAGAUAAGAGGAGAGAGCUGUGUCAAGGCCAUUGCAAAGUAAUUGUUGUAAAACAUAACGAUGGCAUUGGUUACAGGCACAUAUCUAAGCUUCUGAACGUUUCAGUGAGCAUGGUUGGGGCCCUAAUACGUAAGUGGAAAGCCAAUCAUACCACCAUAAAUUUGCCUCGAUCAGGUGCUCCUCGUAAGAUUUCUGACAGGAAUGAAAGGAUUAAUCAGAAAAGUUGUCCAAGAGCCAAGGACCACCUGUGGAGAGCUUCAAAAAGACCUGCAAUUAACAGGUACUGUUGGAAAAUGGCCUGUAUACAGGCUCAUUACCCAUUGUUGGAAAAAAAAAAGCAUGUCAAAGCUCAUUUAAAGUUUGCUGAACAACAUUUGGGCAAGCCAGUUAAAUACUAGCAGAAUAUAGUCUGGUCUGAUGAAAGCGAACUUGAACUAUUUGGAUACCUAAAUGCAAACCACGUUUGGAGGAGAAAUGGCACUGCACAUCACCCUAAAAACACCAUACCAACAGUGAAGUUUAGAGGUGGGAGCAUGAUGUUGUGGGGCUGCUUUCAGCAAAUGGUACUGGUAAACUUCACAUUGAAGGAAGGAUGAAUGGGCAAAUGUACCGAGACAUUCUUUACAAAAAUCUGCUGCCAUCGACGAGGAUGAUGAAAAUCAAACGAAGUUAGACAUUUCAGCAGGAUAAUGAUCCAAAACAUACUGCCAAGGAAACUCUCAAUUGGUUUCAAAGAACAAAAAUAAAGCUGUGAGAAUGACCUAGCCAAUCACCUGACUUGAAUCCAAUCGAAAAUAUACGAAAAGAACUGAAACUCAAAAUCCAUAAAAGAAGCCCAUGGAACCUUCAAGAUUUGAAGACCGCUUGUGUGGACAAAUGGGCCAAAAUCACACCAGAGCAAUGCGUGCGACUAGUUUCUCCAUACAGGAGGCGCCUUGAAGCUGUCAUUGCAAGCAAAGGCUUUUGUACAAAGUAUUAAAUAAAUACCAGUUGGUGUGUUCAAUAAUUUUCCGUGUCAUUUCACAUUAUUACACACAACUGAAUUUUUUAGCGCAUUUGUUCUACUUUAUUUGUAUGUAUGGAUUCCUUGGGUUGUUCCCACGAUCUGGUUAAAUUUUCAUGUCAAUAGCACCUUUGGAAAUAUAUUUAAUGUGAAAGAUUGUGAUGUGUUAAAUACUUACUUCAGCUGCUGUAAGUGUUCUAAAUAAAUAUCCCAGUUUUUGCCAUUGUAAUCGCUCCAAAUCAAAUCGUGUAUCGAACCAAGGGUCAAAAAUCAUGAUGCGUAUCAAAUCAUGACAUUGGUGUAUCGUUACAGCCCUAUUAUUUACAGUGGGGCAAAAAAGUAUUUAGUCAGCCACCAAUUGUGCAUGUUCUCCCACUUAAAAGAUGAGAGGCCUGUAAUUUUCAUCAUAGGUAUACCUCACCUAUGAGAGACAAAAGUAGAGAAAACAAAUAUCCAGAAAAUCACAUUUUCACACACACAUCACACUGAUUUCUAAAGAAUUUAUUUGCAAAUUAUGGUGGAAAAUAAGUGGUCAAUAACAGAAGGUCAUCUCAAUACUUUGUUGUAUAUCCUUUGUUGGCAAUGAAGUGAAACGUUUUCUGUAAGUCUUCACAAGGUUUUCACACACUGUUGCUGGUACUUUGGCCCAUUCCUCCAUGCAGAUCUCCUCUCGAGCAGUGAUGUUUUGGGACUGUCGCUGGGCAACACAGACUUUCAACUCUCUCCAAAGAUUUUCUUUGGGGUUGAGAUCUUCUUCGUUGGCGGGCGGUGUGUUUGGGAUCAUUAUCGUGCUGAAAGACCUAGCUAUGUUUCAUCUUCAAUGCCCUUACUGAUGGAAGGAGGUUUUCACUCAAAGUCUCACGAUACAUGGCCCCAUUCAUUAUUUCCUUUAUACGGAUCAGUCGUUCUGCUCCCUUUGCAGAAAAACAGCCCCAAAGCAUGAUGUUUCCACCCCCAUGCUUCACAGUAGGUAUUGUGUUCUUUGGACCCAGCUCAGCAUUCUUUCUCCUCUAAGCACAACAAGUUGAGUUUUUACCAAAAAGCUACAUUUUGGUUUCAUCUGACUAUGUGACAUUCUCCCAAUCCUCUUCUGGAUCAUCCAAAUUCUCUCUCGCAAACUUCAUACAGGCCUGGACAUGUACUGGCUUAAGCAGGGGGACACGUCUAGCACUGCAGGAUUUGAGUCCCUGGCGGUGUAGUGUUACUGAUGGUAGCCUUUGCUACUUUGGUCCCAGCUCUCUGCAGGUCAUUCACUCAGUGGGGACCGUGUGGUUCUGGAAUUUUUGCUCACCGUUCUUGCGAUCAUUUUGACCCCACGGGGUGAGAUUUUGCACGGAGUCCCAGAUCGGGGGAGAUUAUCAGUGGUUUUGUAGGUCUUCCAUUUUCUAAUGAUAGCUCCCACAGUUGAUUUCUUCACACCAAGUUGCUUACCUAUUGCAGAUUCCUGUCCUUUGACAUCCCUUUGGUCUUGGCCAUAGUGGAGUUUGGCUUGUGACUGUUGGCGGUUGUGGACAGGUGUCUUUUGUACUGAUGAGUUCAAACAGGUGCCAUUAAUACAGGUAACAAGUGAAAGACAGAGGAACCUCUUAAAGAAGACGUUACAGGUCUGUGAGAGCCAGAAAUCUUGGUUAUUUGUAGGUGACCAAAUACUUAUUUUCCACCCUAAUUUGCUAAUAAAUUAUUUUAAAAAAUAAGACAAUGUCGUUUUCUGAAUAUUAUUUUUCUCAUUUUGUCUCUCAUAGUUGAGGUAUACCUAUGAUGAAAAUUACAGGCCUCUCUCAUCUUUUUAAGUGCGAGAACUUGCACAAUUGGUGGCUGACUAAAUACUUUUUUACCCCACUAUAGCUACAGGAGAGGGGCAGAAUAUUAGAGCUUUUGUAUUGGGUCUCAUUAAAUUGUGUCAAGUGUACCUGAUAUUGUUGCCUAUAAGUGAUUGACUUGUUCUGUAAGGCUACAUCAAAGGAUGCUCGGAACCAAAACUUGUUCCUUCCAACAAUUCAGCUACACCCGGCUGUUGGGAGUAUGAAGGAGUCAGGACUGUUUUGUUUUUUUGAUGACAACAUGAAACAUUACUGCCCCUGUUAGAAGAGUAUGCAGUGCAAUAGAGACCACUCCCAGAGACCAGCUGAUGUACGUUCGUGAGUAGACACUGCAAGUGUUUGCCAGACUGAACGAUAUUAGUGCCUAAUAAUAUUGGGGAAGUUACUAGCUUCAGACAAAAUCUCCACUUUGUCCUCUCUCCCUCUCUCUCUCCCAUCCACACUGGAUGCAUUAAACGCUCACACUUUCAACUUUAGUCCAACACACGAUCUUCUAUUUCCCUUUUCAUACGCCUAUUUUCUUUCUUUCGCCAUUAUUGGUGUUAUUUUCUUUCUUUAGUUAGACCCCUUUGUGUUUUUCCCUCUAGAUCCCUUGUAGAUGUCAUUAAAUAGUCUAUAAAAUUGCACUCUUGGUUGUGUUUUGUGUGUGUUCUGAGUUUAAGUAAGCCUCUGUCAUCUAGAACUAAAAACUAUAAAAUGUAGCAACCUUCAUAUUACGAGACUGA